CAUCUCGGCACAGUUAAUGGCACUGGAAGAAUUCACGGGGUAAUUUCUAUACAACCCGUGAUCUCUUAGUGGCAUCUAUGGUGCGGGAAU
rnacentral:pre_miRNA from 1 species